rnacentral:rRNA from 1 species
UGGGGAAUAUUGCACAAUGGGCGCAAGCCUGAUGCAGCCAUGCCGCGUGUAUGAAGAAGGCCUUCGGGUUGUAAAGUACUUUCAGCGGGGAGGAAGGGAGUAAAGUUAAUACCUUUGCUCAUUGACGUUACCCGCAGAAGAAGCACCGGCUAACUCCGUGCCAGCAGCCGCGGUAAUACGGAGGGUGCAAGCGUUAAUCGGAAUUACUGGACGUAAAGCGCACGCAGGCGGUUUGUUAAGUCAGAUGUGAAAUCCUCGGGCUCAACCUGGGAACUGCAUCUGAUACUGGCAAGCUUGAGUCUCGUAGAGGGGGGUAGAAUUCCAGGUGUAGCGGUGAAAUGCGUAGAGAUCUGGAGGAAUACCGGUGGCGAAGGCGGCCCCCUGGGCGAAGACUGACGCUCCGGUGCGAAAGCGUGGGGAGCAAACAGG